GUGCUUGCUUCGGCAGCACAUAGACUGGAAAUUGGAAAGAUACAGAGAUGAUUAACAUUGCCCCUGCCCAAGGAUAACAUGCAAAUUCAUGAGGUGUUCCAUAAUAAA